GUCUUUUUGAAGCUCUCGGAAUCCCUGGAGGCAUACAGCUAGGAGCUCUUCUCAAGCCAGGAGGAAGGUAGCCAGUCACAGCGGCCGGUACUUGGUGGA